AUUCUAGUCUGCAUCUCCCCAAGGUAAUACUUAAAAUCUGGCCUGUUAAUGGUUUCUGAGGACAGGAGUUGAGAACUACUGCACUAGAAUGAGACCAGAAACUAGGUGGAGCUCUAAUAGCCACUAGGUGGAGCUCUAAAUAGCAGCUAGAGGGAGAAAUGCCACUAGGUGGAGCUCUAAAGAGCCGAGCCACUAGAUGGAGAACAGCCACUAGGUGGAGCUCUAAAUGGCUGCUAGAGAAUAGCAUGGUGUUACCAGUUUGCAUUCAAGUCAAGCUUAUUAUUUGGGGCAGAAUCAGACAGCCUCUAGGUGGAGCUCUAAAUAGCUACUAGGUGAAGAGCAGCCACUAGGUGGAGCACUAAAAAGCUACUAGGUCAUAAACAGCCACUAGGUGGAGCUCUUAAAAGCUACUAGGUAAGGAUCAGCCACUAGGGGGCGCUGUAAAGAAAUACUAGAUGAAGAACAGCCACUAGGUGGAGCUCUAAAUAGCUCCUAGGUGGAGAUCUAAAGAGCCACUGGGUGAAGAACAACCAUUAGGUGGAGCGCUAAAUAACAGCUAGAUGGAGAACAGCCACUAGGUGGAGCUCUAGAUGGCUACUAGGUGAAGAACAGCCACUAGGUGGAGCUCUAAAAAGCCACUAGAGGGAGAACAGCCACUAGGUGGAGCUCUAAAAAAACAGCCACUAGAGGGAGAACAGCCACUAGGCGGAGCUCUAAAGAGCCACUAGAUGGAGAACAGCCACUAGGUGGAGCUCUAGAUGGCUACUAGGUGAAGAACAGCCACUAGGAGGAGCUCUAAAAAGCCAGCCACUAGGUGGAGCUCUAAAGAGCCACUAGAGGGAGAACAGCCACUAGGUGGAGCUCUAGAUGGCUACUAGGUGAAGAAUAGCCACUAGGUGGCGCUCUAAAAAGCCACUAGAGGGAGAACAGCCACUAGGUGGAGCUCUAAAUGGCUACUAGGUGAAGAGCAGCCACUAGGUGGAGCUCUAAAUGGCUACUAGGUGAAGAGCAGCCACUAGGUGGAGCUCUAAAUGGCUACUAGGUGAAGAACAGCCACUAGGUGGAGCUCUAAAAAGCCACUAGAGGGAGAACAGCCACUAGGUGGAGCUCUAAAGAGCCACUUGAGGGAGAACAGCCACUAGGUGGAGCUCUAGAUGGCUACUAGGUGAAGAACAGCCACUAGGUGAAGCUCUAAAAAAAACAGCCACUAGAUGGAGAACAGACACUAGGUGAAGCUCUAAAAAAAACAGCCACUAGAUGGAGAACAGACACUAGGUGAAGCUCUAAAAAAAACAGCCACUAGAUGGAGAACAGACACUAGGUGGAGAUCUAAAUAGCUAUUAGGUGAAGAACAGUCACUAGGUGGAAAUCUAGAUGGCUACUAGGUGGAGCUCUAAAAAGCCAGCCACUAGAGGGAGAAGAGCCACUAGGUGAACCUCUAGAUGGCUACUAGGUGAAGAACAGCCACUAGGUGGGGAUCUAAAAAGCCACUAGAGGGAGAACAGCCACUAGGUGGACCUCUAGAUGGCUACUAGGUGAAGAACAGCCACUAGGUGGGGAUCUAAAGAUCCACUAGAGAAUAGCAUUGGUGACCAGUUUUCAUUCGAUUCAAGCUUAUUCUUCGGGGCAGAAUCAGACAGCCACUAGGGGGAGCUCUAAAUAGCUACUAGGUGAAGAGCAGCCACUAGGGGGAGCUGUAUAGGGAUUCUAGAUGGAAAACAGCCACUUGGAGCUAUAAAUGGCUGCUAUGUGGAGAAUAGCCAGUAGGUGGAGCUCUAUAAAUAUCAGACAUCCACCAAAAUCAAACCACAAGUCUGUAAUGAUGGGGGGGGGCUCUCUUUCCAUAGGGUCAGUGCCUCCCCCCACCACCAGCCGGAUCGAGCAGCUUUUCUUGCUUCCAAAAUCCAGGGCUCCGUAAAAUUCGCCGGAUUUAUAACGCAGCUGAUGUGACGUUCACCGGGCAGCGAUCGCAUGCCACAUUGCUUACAUUGCCCAAUUCCCUCUAGCGUUCUCCAGAAUAAUUACAUUGUAUCUCUUAUUAUUACAAAUACAUAUUUCCUAUGCUCCUCAGCUCCAUCUAGUGGCCAUAAUGUGGUAUUUUACUACUAGCCCACAAUAGGAGGACAUUCGUUUAGAAGAGAAAAUAGCCUACGGAUCAUUUUUGUUUUUGCCCUAUUGGCACAGAACAACGAAUGUACAUGCAGAGUGAAUGGGUAUGUGAAAUUAUUUUUAAUAAAUGGACCCCAAAGAGUAUUUAUAGCCCAAA